GAGGAGCAAACGGAGAAGAAGAAGGACAAGAAGAGGAAGAGGGAGGAAAAAGAGACUGAGAAGGAAAUACAGGAAAAGGCUACAGAGAAAACCAAGAAGAAGAAGAAGAAAAAAAAGAAGUCAUCAGCUAGGCAAGUUGAAGUGUAGAGAGCAGUGAGCUUGGAGAAAACGGGGGGAAGAAUGGAAGCAAGGCAUCAAAACCAAGAAGAGCUGGGCUGCGGCCACAGAAGCUUCCUCCCCUCAUCCAGAGUACUUGUGACUCCUUCAAAGGUGCCAAUGUGGCCUCUAUUGAUGGAUAUAAUAAAUCAUCACUCCCAGCUUCAGAGUUGAUGAAGAGAAUUGAAAGUAAACAUAACAUGGUAUUGUGGCAGUUGAAGGCAAAGAAACAAGAUAAACAACUUCGAAUGCAGCAUGGCCUUGACCAAUGUUAGCGCUGCAAAACAGGGGCAUUAAAGACACGUUCCAUAAUGCCAUGACAGGAGACGGGGUUGUUGGUGGUAUUACUGAUGGACCAUUAGUGUUUGGCAGAACAUACUGAAGUGCUGUCAAGGAAACUGUGCAAUAAGGGUGUGAUGAACUAUUGAGGCCACAAUCUGAAAACGACAGCAUCUCCACGAGAACACAAAAUUGUUUCUCUCUGAUACUGUAUUUGUAAAUAUUGUAACAGACAAUGUAUUGAAAAUGAAUACCAUUUUUGUUAGUGUGUGAUUAUUAUAAUGACUUAAAGAUUAGAUAUAUUGCAGAAAAGUUUUGCAGGUAUCCAUCUUUACACUAAUUUAAUAUGUUAAUGUCAUCAGCAAAUAUUGAAGUUAUUAGAAAUAAUGCUAUGUAUAUUUACUAUGCAGAUGUAAAACGUUCCGCACCUUCCUCAUUGUACAUCUCAUCUGUGGUUAUUUGCUGUACAUCAACCAAGGGAAAGCCUGUAACCAUUGUUGUAAUUAUGGGCCUAUGGCCGACAUUACAGCAAGAAAUAAAGACUGGAUACUGUAGGUAAAAUAGAAAUAACUAUUAAAACAAAAUAUGUGUCAGAAAGACUUCACUGUUGAUGGAUUGUUGAUUAAAAUGAAUUUACAUGAAA